AUUGAUCACUGGUAUCACUCAGGUAAGUGAGAUAUUAGUCAUUAGUGUCUAACACAGUGCCUGGCACCCAUAAAAACAACAACUAAACAAACCAACUGGCUUCAAGCCAAUGACAGUCUUGGAGGUUUGCGUCAUUUAGGCCCCAGGUGAGUGAGUCGAAGUCGGCUGCCGGCCAGGGACCAACUAGGUAGUGACUAACCAAUGCAAUUUGAGUGGCUCUGACCUUUCAACAGCAAUGCUGCCUGAUUUGCCCGCUGUAGCCAGGGGUCUGGAGUGUCUGCACAGGCAUAGGGGUAACAGGGUGUGUACCAUUACUUUGGUAUGCUCUCCCUGAAUCCUUGUGAAGAACAACAACGUGCAGAGAUGCCUUACCCGACGGCGAAACACACGCCAGUGUGCUCCCUUCACCCACCUUUCACAUGAACUCCUGAAAAAGAGAAAGGUCAGUUCUCUGUUGCGGCCUCUGGGAGUCUACAGAUAUCAUCA
rnacentral:lncRNA from 1 species